GAUGAAGAACGCAGCGAAAUGCGAUAAGUAAUGCGAAUUGCAGAAUCCGUGAGUCAUCGAAUCUUUGAACGCACAUUGCGCCCCCUGGAAUUCCGGGGGGCAUGCCUGUUCGAGCGUCUCAGGGACGAACCCUCGCGCGGGUGUACGCGCGGUCGUGGCUGCGGUGGCGUGCCCGAGGCGGCGGCCACCGCGCUGGAAUCCAUGGGCGGACGCCUGCCGCGUGGCCGAGCGUGAUAUGACGCAUUGGCGCUCGCACGCGGAGAGGCUGCCAGCCCUGGCCCGUCUGUCGGGCGGGGGAGAGCAAGACACGUGAACUCCUCGAAUCAGGUAGGGAUACCCGCUGAACUUAAGCAUAUCAAUAAGCGGAGGA
rnacentral:misc_RNA from 1 species